UAGUGGCCUCCCUUACACGCUCGUUUAGUGUGGCUAGUAGUCUGGACACUCCUCUCACUCAAGUAUCUACCACAGGCUCUGAGAUCUCCUCAAUCCACACCUACCUACCAGAUCUAGUGUACUAUACUGAUAGUGGUAGUGUUAUACCAGACAAUGAGGGGGACUCUAAACCUUUCCUUUACGUGUGGCUACAGUACGCUAUACCAAAGAUCUCUGUAACAUUGGACGACACACUGAAAAUAGAAGCAGAAGAUAUUACAGCUAGUACCGAUCUGGAGGGAUUACUACUGACU